GACGAACGCUGGCGGCGUGCUUAACACAUGCCAGUCGAACGGAAAGGCCCUGCUUUUGUGGGGUGCUCGAGUGGCGAACGGGUGAGUAACACGUGAGUAACCUGCCCUUGACUUUGUGAUAACUUCAGGAAACUGGGGCUAAUACCGGAUAGGAGCUCCUGCUGCAUGGUGGGGGUUGGAGAGUUUCGGCGGUUGGGGAUGGACUCGCGGCUUAUCAGCUUGUUGGUGGGGUAGUGGCUUACCAAGGCUUUGACGGGUAGCCGGCCUGAGAGGGUGACCGGCCACAUUGGGACUGAGAUACGGCCCAGACUCCUACGGGAGGCAGCAGUGGGGAAUAUUGCACAAUGGGCGGAAGCCUGAUGCAGCAACGCCGCGUGCGGGAUGACGGCCUUCGGGUUGUAAACCGCUUUCGCCUGUGACGAAGCGUGAGUGACGGUAAUGGGUAAAGAAGCACCGGCUAACUACGUG
rnacentral:rRNA from 1 species